GCAUGCGCAGCACCUUUCUGUUCCAGCGCUAGCUAUGCUGCAGGUCACGUGAGGCUUAUGAUUGGACAAGGAGAACGUAGAAGUUUAUGCUUGCUUCCGGUCCGGGAGCCCAGAGAACUAACUUGGGGUAUUUUCUCAAAGUGCAUGUAGAGGCGGGCGCUGGCCUCCCACUCUCCUUUCCAUUUGGGUUUAGCGUCUGGGUCACUGAGAACGACGUCUGAAUAGGGCCCUGGAUCCUUGCCAUGGAUGAAGGUGGUUCCCGCAUCCGCCGGCGGGUUUCUCUCCCCAAAAGGAACCGUCCAAGCCUGGGGUGCAUUUUUGUCGGUCUCACGGCGGCCGAGCUCGAGCCCGGAGAUGAGGGGAAAGAAGAGGAGGAAAUGGUGGCUGAGAACAGGAGGCGGAAAACCGCGGGCGUGCUGCGGGUCGAGGUACAGCCCUUUCUACUCUCAGAUUCCCCCGAAUGUCUCAUCCUUGGAGGUGGUGGUACAAACCCGGACCUCCUACGUCGCAUUCCCAUUGACAGAGGGGUGGGAGACCAGCAUAAUGACAGUGAAGAGGACAUGUUUGGUGACUAUGAUAGCUUUACUGAAAAUUCCUUUAUAGCUCAAGUUGACAACCUGGAACAAAAAUAUAUGCAACUCCCUGAACAUAAGAAACAUGCUACAGACUUUGCCACUGAAAAUCUUUACUCAGAAAGUAUCAAAAAUAAACUCAGCAUUACUACCAUAGGCAAUCUUACUGAAUUACAAACUGAUGAGCACACAGAGAACCAGAGUGGAUAUGAAGGUGUCACUGUUGAACCUGGAGCUGAUCUUUUGUAUGAUGUACCUUCCUCACAGGCUAUAUACUUUGAAAAUUUACAGAACUCUUCAAAUGAUUUGGGCAUUUGUUCUAUGAAAGAAAGGGAUUGGAAGUCAUCCUCUCACAACACUGUGAAUGAGGAACUGCCCCAUAAUUGCAUAGAGCAACGCCAGCAAAAUGAUGAGGACUCUUCCAAAGUCAGAAUUAGUUCGGAUAUGAACAGGAGAAAAAGUAUUAAAGAUCAUCUAAAAAGUGCCAUGACUGGAAAUGCCAAGGCCCAGACACCAAUAUUUUCUAGAAGUAAACAGCUCAAAGACACUCUCCUAUCUGAGGAAAUUAAUGUUGCUAAGAAAACAAUUGAGUCAUCAUCAAAUGACCUUGGUCCUUUUUAUUCAUUACCCAGCAAAGUGAGAGACCUUUAUGCCCAGUUCAAGGGAAUUGAAAAAUUAUAUGAAUGGCAACAUACUUGUUUAACACUGAAUUCUGUGCAAGAAAGAAAAAAUUUAAUAUAUUCAUUGCCAACAAGUGGUGGAAAAACCCUCGUGGCUGAGAUUUUAAUGCUACAAGAACUGCUUUGCUGUCGGAAAGAUGUUUUAAUGAUUCUUCCAUAUGUGGCAAUUGUCCAAGAAAAGAUUUCAGGUUUGUCAAGUUUUGGUGUAGAACUCGGUUUCUUUGUUGAAGAAUAUGCUGGAAGCAAAGGAAGAUUUCCUCCAACUAAAAGAAGGGAAAAGAAAUCACUAUAUAUUGCCACUAUUGAAAAAGGACAUAGCUUGGUGAACUCCUUGAUUGAAAGUGGAAGAAUUGACAGUCUGGGUCUUGUUGUUGUAGACGAGUUGCACAUGAUUGGUGAAGGAAGCCGUGGAGCUACACUGGAAAUGACCCUAGCAAAAAUCCUCUACACUAGCAAAACAACUCAAAUUAUUGGUAUGAGUGCAACAUUAAACAAUGUUGAAGACCUACAAAAGUUUCUUCAAGCAGAAUAUUAUACCAGUCAAUUUAGACCAGUUGAAUUAAAAGAGUAUCUGAAAAUAAAUGAUACAAUAUAUGAAAUUGACAGCAAAGCUGAGAAUGGCAUGACUUUUUCACGCCUCCUUAAUUAUAAGUAUUCUGAUACCCUAAAAAAGAUGGAUCCUGAUCACUUGGUAGCAUUGGUUACAGAAGUUAUUCCCAAUUAUUCCUGCUUAGUUUUUUGUCCUAGUAAGAAGAACUGUGAAAAUGUAGCAGAAAUGAUAUGCAAAUUUUUAAGCAAGGAAUAUCUGAAGCACAAGGAGAAAGAAAAAUGUGAGGUAAUUAAGAACUUGAAGAAUAUUGGCAAUGGCAACCUGUGUCCUGUUUUAAAGCGCACUAUCCCAUUUGGAGUUGCCUAUCACCAUAGUGGCUUAACAAGUGAUGAAAGGAAACUCUUGGAGGAGGCCUACUCCGCAGGAGUGCUCUGUCUUUUUACCUGCACAUCUACCCUAGCAGCAGGUGUCAACCUACCAGCUCGAAGAGUUAUUUUAAGAGCUCCCUAUGUUGCUAUGGAAUUUUUAAAGAGGAAUCAAUAUAAACAGAUGAUUGGCAGAGCCGGUCGUGCUGGAAUAGAUACUAUUGGGGAGAGUAUCCUCAUACUGCAAGAAAAAGACAAACAACAGGUAUUGGAAUUAAUAACUAGACCAUUAGAAAACUGUUACAGCCAUCUUGUUCGGGAAUUCACCAAGGGAAUCCAAACAUUAUUUCUCUCUUUGAUUGGUUUGAAGAUUGCAACGAAUCUUGAUGACAUCUAUCACUUCAUGAAUGGUACAUUUUUUGGUGUUCAGCAAAAGAUUUUAUUGAAAGAAAAAAGUCUUUGGGAAAUAACUGUUGAAUCACUUAGAUAUCUGACAGAAAAAGGACUCCUACAAAAAGACACUAUUUGUAAGUCUGAAGAAGAGGUCCAACAUAAUUUUCAUAUUACAAAGUUGGGACGAGCUUCAUUUAAGGGCUGCAUGGACAUCUCUAUGUAUUUGGGGGUACAUAUGGAAAUGUUUCUCUGGGUUAGAUUCCCCAAAAUAGUUGGAUCAGAAGGAACUAUAGAUUUAGCUUAUUGUGACAUUCUCUACAGAGACUUGAAGAAAGGUCUUGAAGGACUUGUGCUUGAAAGCCUUCUUCAUCUAAUCUACCUAACAACCCCCUAUGAUCUGAUUUCACAGUGUAACCCUGAUUGGAUGAUAUACUUCAGGCAGUUUAGCCAACUCAGUCCAGCAGAACAAAAUGUAGCUGCCAUUCUUGGAGUCUCUGAAAGCUUUCUUGGGAAGAAAGCAUCAGGUCAAGCCAUCAGAAAGCUUAAUGCUUUUAAAAAAGUGAUCCAGUAUCAACCUGCAGAAUCUGUAACUCAUACAUCCUUCAAUAUGUCACCAAGGUGGACAAGGAUGUUGUCAACAGGCUAUAUCUGUCUUUUGUUCUUUAUACCUUGCUCAAAGAGACCAACAUUUGGACUGUAUCUGAAAAAUUUAAUAUGCCUCGAGGAUAUAUACAAAAUCUUCUCACUGGAGCUGCCUCAUUCUCAUCUUGUGUGUUACAUUUCUGUGAGGAGCUUGAGGAGUUUUGGGUUUACAGAGCCCUUUUGGUAGAACUUACAAAGAAGCUGACUUACUGUGUAAAGGCAGAACUAAUUCCUCUCAUGGAAGUUACUGGAGUUUUAGAGGGUCGAGCAAAACAGUUAUACAGUGCAGGUUACAAAAGUCUAAUGCACUUAGCUAAUGCAAAUCCUGAAGUGCUCAUAAGGACAAUUGAUCAUUUAUCAAGACGUCAAGCCAAGCAAAUUGUUGCAUCAGCAAAGAUGCUGUUGCAUGAAAAAGCAGAGGCCCUGCAAGAAGAAGUAGAAGAGCUACUAAGAUUACCUUCUGAUUUCCCUGGUGCUGUGGCUUCUUCCACUGACAAAGCAUGAAGCUAUCUGAUGAGCAUUUUCACAUAUGAAUUAUUUAUUGUACAUGUGUUUUAUUAAAAAUAACAUACUUUAUAAAUGAAAAAAUACAUUUUAAGUAUGCAUUAA